UACAGAGGUCUCAAGCGUUGUUCGGAUUCAUUGGGCGUAAAGGGUGCGUAGGCGGCGCGGUAAGUCGGGUGUGAAAUUUCGAGGCUUAACUUCGAAACUGCAUUCGAUACUGCCGUGCUUGAGGACUGGAGAGGAGACUGGAAUUUACGGUGUAGCGGUGAAAUGCGUAGAUAUCGUAAGGAAGACCAGUGGCGAAGGCGGGUCUCUGGACAGUUCCUGACGCUGAGGCACGAAGGCCAGGGGAGCAAAACGGG
rnacentral:rRNA from 1 species